AUACGUAGGGGGCGAGCGUUGUCCGGAAUGAUUGGGCGUAAAGGGCGCGUAGGCGGCCCGGUAAGUCUGGAGUGAAAGUCCUGUUUUUAAGAUGGGAAUUGCUUUGGAUACUGUCGGGCUUGAGUGCAGGAGAGGUAAGUGGAAUUCCCAGUGUAGCGGUGAAAUGCGUAGAGAUUGAGGAACACCAGUGGCGAAGGCGACUUACUGGACUGUAACUGAAGCUGAGGCGCGAAAGUGUGGGGAGCAAACAGGAUUAGAUAACCUGGUAGUCCACACUGUAAACGAUGAAUGCUAGGUGUAGGGGGUAUCGACCCCUUCUGUGCCGCAGUCAACACAAUAAGCAUUCCGCCUGGGGAGUACGGCCGCAAGGGUGAAACGUAAAGAAAUUGACGGAG
rnacentral:rRNA from 1 species